CCUACGGGUGGCUGCAGUGGGGAAUAUUGGACAAUGGGCGAAAGCCUGAUCCAGCCAUGCCGCGUGUGUGAAGAAGGCCUUCGGGUUGUAAAGCACUUUCAGUGGGGAAGAAAGCCUUGGGGCUAAUACCCUCGAGGAAGGACAUCACCCACAGAAAAAGCACCGGCUAACUCCGUGCCAGCAGCCGCGGUAAUACGGAGGGUGCGAGCGUUAAUCGGAAUUACUGGGCGUAAAGCGCGCGUAGGCGGUCUGAUAAGCCGGUUGUGAAAGCCCCGGGCUCAACCUGGGAACGGCAUCCGGAACUGUCAGGCUAGAGUGCAGGAGAGGAAGGUAGAAUUCCCGGUGUAGCGGUGAAAUGCGUAGAGAUCGGGAGGAAUACCAGUGGCGAAGGCGGCCUUCUGCACUGACACUGACGCUGAGGUGCGAAAGCGUGGGUAGCAAACAGGAUUAGAUACCCUAGUAGUC
rnacentral:rRNA from 1 species